UCCGGUUUGUCACCGGCAGUCUGAAGUGAGUCCCCAACUUAAUGCUGGCAACACUUCACGGGGGUUGCGCUCGUUGCGGGACUUAACCCAACAUCUCACGACACGAGCUGACGACGGCCAUGCACCACCUAUCGCAGGCCCUUUCGGACACCACAUCUCUGUGGCUUUUCCUGCGUAGUUCAACCCAGGUAAGGUUCUUCGCGUUGCAUCGAAUUAAGCAACAUGCUCCGCCGCUUGUGCGGGCCCCCGUCAAUUCCUUUGAGUUUCAGCCUUGCGGCCGUACUCCCCAGGCGGGGCACUUAUCGCGUUAGCUACGGCACCGAAGGGGUCGUUCCCCCCAGCACCUAGUGCCCAUCGUUUACGGCGUGGACUAC
rnacentral:misc_RNA from 1 species